GCGGGUGUAGCUCAGUUGGCUAGAGCUUCUGCCUUCCAAGCAGACUGUCGCGCGUUCGAGUCGCGUCACCCGCUCCA
rnacentral:tRNA from 3 species